ACGAUCAAGCACUUAGCGAGCUGGACUAGGCAGAGUCAGUCACUUUUAAUCAUUUAAUAUUAGUCACUUCCAAUAAUUUAGGUUUGGAAUGGAAAUGAGAAAUUGUUAAAUAUAAAAAUGUUUAAAUACCGUUCAUGUGAAACAACCGUUGUACUCUAAAAGUUUAAGCUGUUAGAGAACGAUGUUUAAACAUUUUUAUAUUUUACACUCCCCCUCACGUCUGGGCUCUGAUAUCAUAGGAAACAACCGUUGUGCUCUAAAAGCUUAAGCUGUUAGAGAACAGUGUUUAAACAUUUUUAUAUUUAACACAAAUGGAAUUGCAUUGAAAUGGAAAUCAUUCAAAAAUGUUUGAUUCACUAUUAGAGUCGAAAUCGGAAUGGACAAUUCAAACUAAGGUUUUGAGGGAGGCUUUUGGUAUAAGAGAGAGGAGAGUGAUCAAUGUAGAGGAGAAAGUAUUAGAGAGAGAAGGUUUUGAGCUGUUUACUCUGAAAUGAGCCAAUUCAGAAUUGAAAUUUUGAUUGGAUCAUAAAUAGAUUAGAUCAUGUUCAUUCCAGAAUAAAUUAGAAUUAGCAUUCGAUUUCUGUAAAAUAAACAAUAGCUAUCGAAAUAAAUGAAUCACAUUUUUAAUAUCAAAAUAGAUAAACUAAACAAGCCUUUAGUGUUAUAAGAUGUCACAUCUACUUCAUUCUUAAUUUGCUCUUUCUUAAACCCUUAUAUAUUACGGAAUUAAAAUAUGAAAAAAAGAAAAAGAAAUUUCUCUCUGUGAUGUACGUCUCAAUUAGAGGAAAAGUUCUAGAAUGCACCGGGUAUACCGGUGACGUGGCGUCACAAACCAAUCAAAUAUCUCUUUUUAGAGAUAUAUGUCCCAUAAUAAUUAUAAAAAAAUAUUUUUAUUAUACUUUUGUUGGAAAAAAAUAUGUAUUAAUUUGUGAUUGAUGAUGUGAUGCAAGCGUGACAGUGUAGAAUUUCUCCAACUAGAGCCUGCGCCAACUAA
rnacentral:lncRNA from 1 species